GUACGUACACGGCAGCUUUGAGUGCUUUUCUGAUGGAGCAACUUUGAAGUUGUUGGUUGGUGAUAAGACUAUCAUCCUGCGGGAGAGUCUCCCUGCUCUAGUUUUGCGCGUACUGCUAGUUGCUACAGCAGAGCUCGAUUGGAGACAUACCUCUCACACUAUACCUUUGGCUCUGAAAGGAAGAAACUGCAGAGAGAGCACAAACCUGCAUGGCCAUCAUGAAGGCAACUCGACCAGACUACUACAUGUGCAGCCAGCCCAGCCAUUGGUGAUGUCGUUAUGAUGAAUUUGAGCUCUGCGUAGUUCGUUGAGAUGGAAUCUAAAGCUGAAUUUGUCCCUGUUAAAGGCUCGCACGGAUGAAAUAAAACGGUAUUGUUUCACCAUACUUGUUGUACCCCCCGUUUUUUUUGGUUGCGUUAUGUACUCCUAUUUUUGAUUUGUUCAUGUUCCUAUUUCGGAUUAUGCUGCAUCUGCACACGGGUGUAACGGAAAUUUGAGAAAGCCUAGUUUCGUCUAUUGAA